GACGUAGGUGGCGAACGUUAUCCGGAAUUAUUGGGCGUAAAGGGUGCGUAGGCGGCAUGAUAAGUUAUUGGCGGGAAAUCGAGGCUCAACCUCGUGGAAACUAAUAAUACUGUUUUGCUUGAGUACAGGAGAGGUUAACGGAACUCCAUGUGGAGCGGUAAAAUGUGUAGAUAUAUGGAAGAACAUCAAUAACGGCGAAGGCAGUUAACUAUUCUGUUACUGACGUUGAGGCACGAAAGCGUGGGGAGCAAACAGG
rnacentral:rRNA from 1 species